rnacentral:rRNA from 1 species
GGGACGCUGGCGGGGUGCUUACACAUGCAAGUCGAACGAUGAUGCCCAGCUUGCUGGGUGGAUUAGUGGCGAACGGGUGAGUAACACGUGAGUAACCUGCCCCUGACUCUGGGAUAAGCGUUGGAAACGACGUCUAAUACUGGAUAUGAUCACUGGCCGCAUGGUCUGGUGGUGGAAAGAUUUUUUGGUUGGGGAUGGACUCGCGGCCUAUCAGCUUGUUGGUGAGGUAAUGGCUCACCAAGGCGACGACGGGUAGCCGGCCUGAGAGGGUGACCGGCCACACUGGGACUGAGACACGGCCCAGACUCCUACGGGAGGCAGCAGUGGGGAAUAUUGCACAAUGGGCGAAAGCCUGAUGCAGCAACGCCGCGUGAGGGAUGACGGCCUUCGGGUUGUAAACCUCUUUUAGUAGGGAAGAAGC